AUUAAAAGUCCUGGAUCUCCUGGAUGUAGGACUGUUGAGGAUGCUACUAUGGUUUUGUUUUAGACUUUAAAAAAUUUUAUGCGAAUUGCAUAUUCCUUGAGUAGUCUGCUCUUCAAUUAACCUUAAUCCAAGUGGAUUAUGACAGGGAAGCUAUAUAAAUGGGAACUCUUGCCAUGUAGCACCUUGCAUACUCAAAUAGCCUUUUUUACCUGGUUCACUAAGCCCCUGAAUAUUGGAUGAAUUGGACUGUCACCACCAGAAUGUUGCUUAUGUUCUUUCUAUCUCCUAGAGAUAAAAAUGCUUCAGAUAAGCAGGAUAUGUUAGCAUUAUUCUUUGAAUAUGCUGAGUAUAAUUUCAGCCCACAUCUUUGCUUACCAAUUAUUCAAGAUAAAUUGGAGAAUGGGUAAUCAGUUCAGUGCUACAAUCUUUACUCCAAACUAUGGAACACUCUCUAGGAAAAGUCCUUGGUUUUCAGCUUGAUUUUCUUGUUGGUCUCAGAGUGCCUUUAACUUCAACAUGGGGAUUACCAAGUUUUCCAAAGCAUGAGGUUCCUGCCUUUGGCCUGCAGGUAGGAAGACCUGAAUUCAAAUGUGACUUUAGACCCUAACUAUCAGCUUCAGUUUCCUGGAAUGUCAAAUGAGGAUAAUAAUAGUAUUUCCUCCCAGGAUAAUUGAGGAUCAAAUGAGAUCAUUAUAGAGCUUUUAGCACAGUGCCUGGCACAUAGUAAGCCCUUAACAAAUGCUUAUUCCUGCCCUAUUUCUCUGUUUUCUGAGGUUUCAUGGGUGGUGGCUUCCUUUAUCUUGAAUGGGGUCAGUCAAGGGUGUAUAAAUUCCCUGCAACCCCACCCAGUUCCUUUUAAGAGCUCCUCUAAAGCACUGUUUUUGCCUUUCUUUGGAAUUCUUAGUUCUUAGUGUAAUUCCUGGCAUAUAGUGAAUCCUUAUUAAAUGUUUGAUGUUUGAUUAAUUCAUUUCAUAUGACUUUUUUCUUUAGGAGCAGCUCUCACUUUGCAAAGGUUCUGUAUGUUCCAAUGGAUCCCCUUAUAUCUGGGCAUCAAUUUCAAAGAAAAAUAAAGUCCUGGGAGUUUACUCCAUUGAAAACAUAUUUUCUGGACUCAUUCAGUAAGAGCAGUGUGAUGAGGAAAUUGAGUCUUCAAGAAAUUAAAUGAAUUACCAGGAGUACAUACCUAAUAAUUGUACUACAUGAGGAUAUUUGACCUGGAAAAUAAGAGAUUUGGAAGGUGAGGAGUAUGAUUUCUACAUGACAACUUCUCAAGACUUAAAGAUAGCAGAUGUGGAAGAUUUGUUCAAUAGAGCCCUAAAGAAAAGUAUGUUGUAUAAACUGCUGAAGAAUUGUCUUGCUAAUUAAGGCUUCCCUCUUUGCUAUAAGACUAUAAAUAAAAACAUUUUAUCCUCAAAAAAAAUUGUGUAG
rnacentral:lncRNA from 1 species